GAUGAACGCUGGCGGCGUGCUUAACACAUGCAAGUCGAACGGAAAGGCCCUGCUUUUGUGGGGUGCUCGAGUGGCGAACGGGUGAGUAACACGUGAGUAACCUGCCCUUGACUUUGGGAUAACUUCAGGAAACUGGGGCUAAUACCGGAUAGGAGCUUCUGCUGCAUGGUGGGGGUUGGAAAGUUUCGGCGGUUGGGGAUGGACUCGCGGCUUAUCAGCUUGUUGGUGGGGGAGUGGCUUACCAAGUCUUUGACGGGUAGCCGGCCUGAGAGGGUGACCGGCCACAUUGGGACUGAGGUACGGCCCAGACGCGUACGGGAGGCAGCAGUGGGGAAUAUUGCACAGUGGGCGGAAGCCUGAUGCAGCAACGCCGCGUGCGGGAUGACGUCCUUCUGGGUGUAAACCUCUGUCGCCUGUAACGAAGCGUGAGUGACGGUAAUGGGUAAAGAAGCACCGGCUAACUACGUG
rnacentral:rRNA from 1 species